rnacentral:rRNA from 1 species
UACAGAGGUGGCAAGCGUUGUUCGGAAUUACUGGGCGUAAAGGGCGCGUAGGCGGCCCCCUAAGUCCCGCGUGAAAGCCCCCGGCUCAACCGGGGAACGGCGCGGGAGACUGUCGGGCUUGAGUUCGGGAGAGGGAAGCGGAAUUCCGGGUGUAGCGGUGAAAUGCGUAGAUAUCCGGAGGAACACCAGUGGCGAAGGCGGCUUCCUGGACCGACACUGACGCUGAGGCGCGAAAGCUAGGGGAGCAAACGGG